CAAAUACUCCCUCCGUCUCAAAAGUCUUGUCUUAGAUUUGUCUAUAUAUGAAUGUAUCUAGUCACAUUUNNNUAUUUAGAUACAUUCAUUUCUAGAUAAAUCUAAGACAAGAAUUUUAAGACGGAGGGGGUAGGAU
rfam:Hordeum vulgare subsp. vulgare, WGS project CAJW01000000 data, contig: morex_contig_339761